AACACCUUCAUUUUAACUCAGCGAGAUGCUUUUCAGAUUUCGUACUUCCAGAACUGUCCUUUCUUUACUACUUGUGAACUUUCUAAAUUGCACCCAAGGCUCAAAGUCGUUUGAACUCAACAGGAGAUCACCAUUCCAAACAGACUCCUAGAAUUGAUCUGUAUCUCAUAGGAGAAAUUCAGGAUCCUGUAAACUGGAAGAAAGUGAAACCAUUUUUCCAGUGCUCUACAGCUCCUGCAUUGAAGCAUGUCUGGAACCUCGAAACCCAUGAAGGAAAGAAGGGAGUCAGCUGGGAAGGGAACACCUGCCUAACUCCAGACUCAUUUCUGGGACGCAGAAGUUUGAUGGGCCAACUCUUUCAUGAAACGUCAUGCAGUUCACCUGCUCCUAAGAGGAAAUCUAAAGAUCUGAAUCUGGACUGCUGUGCACCUUUCACUGGUUUAAUUGUUGUCUUCAGGCAAUAACGAAUGUUGCCCUGCUUCUGUCAUUGUUAACUGCCAAAUCCUUCCCACCCAUAACCCUUAGAAGGACCCCUCUAAGUAUAUUUGGGAAAUACCGCUAUGCCCUUCUUUUUACUCUUGCUCAUAAUAUUAUAUCAACCAACUGUCUAAAUUUAAGGAGUGUUUCAGAAUGUUAUUUCAUGCCAUCCUUAUGGUAACUCUGUAAGGCAGAUUUACCCAGGAUGCGCAUGGAAUCAGAAAGGUAAAGCUUUAGGAGAUAGAGCAAGAGCUGCAUGUCUUGCUGGCUACCAAGAAGGCUGGAGGACUUUCAGUGAGAAUAAGUGACUUUCCCUUCCCAUCCAGUGUAGAAAGACUAAGACAGCAUCUUGCUUCCUACAACCCAACUCUCAAGACAUCCAGCAGGGCUCUCCUGCUGAUAACUGCCUUCUUUGCCUUAACUGCCAGAGCCAGAAAGAGACCCCUGGGAGUAAAAGGCUUGAUAAAAUUGACCCAGAAGUGGAGCAAGGAAACAAAAAGAAGGUCACAGCACAGUAUUAUUUUAGGGUGGUUACUGUGCCCAGGUGAGAUUUAGAAAUGGAUGCACUAUGAGAUCCCAACUCAUUCAAAAUGAUGCAGUUUUGGAAGGUUUAUUGAAAAAAAUCUAGAUCAUAUGUUAUUUUCACAUCACUAGCAAUCAGAUUAAAUCUAUAUUUGAAACGGUAUGAUUAAACAUUCUUAUUCCUCAUGUAAAUUAUCCUAAAGGUACAAGGGAAACUCAACAAGGCUUGAGUUGAUCUACUUACCAUUAAUCUAAAACUGGACUUUAAAAAUGGACCACAUAGGUGACCAUCUCAGGUUUCUAAACAUUUUUGAAACCCAGACAAUUUCUUCCUCAUUGCUAUCAUUUCUGUAUAUUGCCAGUUAAAGUCCUGUUCGGGGGAGGGGGAGAGGCAUAUUUGAGAAGCAUCUCUUCUUUGUUGAAAUUGGUGGGGAGAACACAUUCAAAAAGGAAAAUAAAGAACAGAUGCAUCUCUGUUUUUAUUGCUGCUUAAUGUUUUUCCUCCCUUAGAAUGUCCAUUUUUAUGUAAACAACUUUUCUUUUCAGUUACCUUUAUGCUAGACAAAGAUGUCAUUAAUUUUCAAAUGUCUUUUCUUCUUUCCUUAGGCAACAAACGCCUGGGUGCCACUUUAGCCACAUAUUAAAAGAGAAUAUUAAUUUAAAUAAUGACAGAAAAUUAUGUUUUACAGUCUUCUCUACAGAGUAGAAAAUAGAAUGGGAAAGCCUCUCUGCAUUGCAGAUUUAGGGGAGUGUACCAGUUUUUGUGCCAUUUUACCCAUUAUUCUUUUUUGCUGUUGCUGGGUCACUUUUGCUACACACUGAGGGCAUACUAUUUACAGAGAAUAUCCCCUUACUGCUCACCCCAAAAAGAAUA